UUUUCUUUUUUGUUCCCUUUUCUGUUUUCUUUUCUUCUUUUCUGUUUUCUUUUUUAUUCUUGGUUUUUUUAAUUUGACAAAAUCUUUUAAUGUUCUGUUUUUAUUUUUUUCUCCUUUCCUAUUUCUUUUUUUUUUGGUCAUGUAUCAAAUUUGCGAACAAUUUUUCUCAAAUUGUGAACAUUUUUCGAAAGUGGAAUAUUUUUCAAAUUGCCAAACAUUUUUUACAAAUCUGCGAACAUUUUUUUUGAAUUGAUGAACAGUUUUUUGAAAUUCGUGAACAUUUCUGGAAAAAAUGAACAUCUUUCCAAAAUCAUUGACAUUUCUUGAAAUUGUGAACUUUUUUGAAAUCUUAAACAUUUUCUAAAUUCGUGAAAAAAAAUUCAUAUUCAAGAACAUUCCUAGAAAUUGUGUAGAUUUUCUGGAAAACGUGAACAGUUUUUGAUUUUUUUAUGGAUUUGGUGAACAUUUUUUAAAAGUUGGGAAUAUUUUUAAAAAAAUCUAGAACAUUUUUUAAAUAUUGUGAACAUUUUUCUAGAAAUUCAUGAACAUUUUUUGAAAAUGUAAAAAACUGAAUAGCCGAACAUUAUUUUUGGAAUUGCGAACAUUUUUUGAAUCUGUGAGCAUUUAUCAUUUCCUGAACAUUUUUCAAAUCAUGAACAAUCUUUGAACUCAUGAACAAUUCAACAAUUUUGCAACUUUUUCAGGAAUCCCGAUUUUUUUUAAAGCUGAAACCAGAAAAAAAUAAGAACAAAAAACACAAGGGGCUCCCCGCCCUAGACACGGGCCAGCCAUUGAGUACGUGCGGGGGGAGCAGGGUGGGUACGCGCUUCCCGUGGCUUUGAUGGGACCACUAGUCAAGUUUCAUCAAGAGAUCACAAUUCGCUCCCUGUCGCCGCUCGGCACACAAGAGGAACAGUAUACAUUUGUAAAACUUCAGAAAAAGACAUAUCUCAAAUACUGUGAGUGUGAGGCAAAUCCAAACUACAACAAGACAUGCUUCGAUUGAAAGUCAGGAUUAGGCUCACGAAAAUCGGCUUCAUCGACAAAAUUGUAUCUAACUAAGAGGAAACCACAAGCUAUCAAAGAAGCACACAUCAUACAAUGACAAGGUCGUCCUAUAAGUCUAUAACUGAGUUGAAGCCCUGACCUUCACUGAAUUGUUGUCGGUCAACUAUCAGCAGGCUCUGUUAACACCACUAUCUGACAAAGAAAAUUGUCACGAACCAGCAACCCUCCCAUCACCAUGCAGCAUAUUUCGAAUGAAGGCUAUCUGAAAUUCAUUUGACAAUAGGCCACCAGGACCUUCAAUACAGUUUGAAGUUAAAAAACCAAUUCGAUCAAGGCAUUAGCUGACACGUGUACAAAAAGCACAGAGAUACCGUUAGCUCUGAACGAACAAUACUUAUAAAGGGUGUAUAUAUUAGCGUGUCUGAUCACGAAGAUAAUACACAUUGGAUACCAGAAGGGGGGGAAAUACUUAAAGAGCCUGUCUGAAUAUAAUGUGCAGAUGGCAUCUAAGAUACUUGAAGCAAAUUAGUGGUAACAGAAACUAUUAUUCAUACGGCCAUGCACAACAUGACAUUGCAGAGAUAGCAUGAACAUAAAACUAGGACUGUGUUAUGUGGAAUACAUGAAAACUAUUCCCAGCCAACAAAACUAUGCACGGGGCUGUAAAAUUGGAGUAUCUAGCGUAGAAGCAUAAUCAGAUAUAUUAGAUUACAUAGUGAAAUCGUUCACAACAAUGAGUUAAAAAAUUUAAGAAUAUCAUUGUCUAACUGAGAUUACUUAGAACAACCACAUAACGAGCAGCAUUUUCUAUCAUUUAGCCGAGAAGUGGGACACCAAAUUCUCUACAGACAACAUUUUGUUUUGGUGGGAUCGAUUAUAAUAAUAGCAUAAUGCAUGUGCAUUACUGUGAUCACCAUAUGAUCAAACUAGUACAUAUGUCUACAAUUCAACAUAUCAACUACAGGGUUCUACUGUAGUACUGAAGCAGCCACCAAUUACAAACAUUUAAGUCGGAAACAGUCCUCAGCAGUAAAGCAUUUUGUCACUCUCCAUAGUCGACACCACAACGCCGCCUAACAUACAGUAGAUACACAAUCCAAAUAAAAGCAUAAAGCACACCAACCAAACCCAAUGAGGUAAACAAACAAAAUGGAAGUAUAAGUGAUGUGCAGAAUAUUACAACUCGCUUUUACCUGGUAACAAUUAGGACCGUCACCAACAAAACCAACCUCUGCUACUCAUAGUCUUCUGCCACAUAGGGAGGCCAGUUAUUCUCACCACUAUGGUCUGAUCUUUGAUGGCAACCUAUUAAGACAACAAGUAUAAACUAUGCACAAUAUAUUCACUUGUUAAAUUGAUUUUUUGACAGGACAACAGAUGAAUCGAUAGUUGAGAAUUGCUCUAAUUCAUUCGACAGCUUCCGUUUGUGCUAGAGGGCUCAAACACAAAGGCAGGCCAAGCUAUGGAAGUAAUAACCAAGAUAUCAACAUCCCUUACUUUCUAUAAUGAAUACCAAUAUUCCAACAGUAUGCCACCAUGUUAAGAAAUCAAACUUUUAGUCGGGAGAAAAAUAACUCAGUGAUUACUUUUGAAAUUUAAUAUACUGUUCCUUUUAUCAGGCAAAUCUGAAUCUAGUGCACAAUUACUUCUGCAAGCGGCAGCAUAGAAUUCAGCAGGGUGAGGCGGCCUUCUUGUAAGGCUAUCAACAAAUACUUUCUCCCUCACUAUUAUUCUGUUAUAGUAGCUCGGCCGUGACCUAGCGAUCCAUUUGCCUUAAGAAAUUUACAACACAGAAUCAGCAUCGGAGCAGGCCCUCUAGGCUGUAAUGGUGCAUUACCCGCUGAUGAGCUGUGUAUGCCGGUUCCACCCCGCUGAUGGUGGCAUAAAAUAAACAUACAUCGAAUAGAAAUAUAUUUUCUAAGCAUAAUCAAAACACUGAAUGGUGAACUGCAAUUUCAGUACUAACCAACUGGCAUAUGAUAAAACAAAAAACGACAAUGAAAUGAACACCUAAUCAUGAAUUACCAGCUUAAUGCGACGAGUGGAAAUUCAGUUGUUGCACACGCAGCUACCAAUUUUUCAUAGCCUGUUCUUGGUUCACGUAAAUCUGAAUCUAGCAGGCACCUCCCCUAUGCAAGCGGCUGCAUAGUCUUCAGCAAUGAGUGGCGCAGCUUGCUUGUGGGGGCGUAUGAACCUCUCCACAAAUACCUUCUCGCCGACCAAGACCAUAGCAUAGUAGUCUCUGCCAUGACUUAGCAAUCCAUUUUCCUGAAGAAACCUCAUAACAUAGUACCGAGGCUUGAGCCGGCCCUCGAGGCUAAGACUGAGCAUUAUGGGCCGGUGAGCAAUGUACGCCGGUUCCAACCCCACCUUAGAGAUGAGGAACUCGGACUUGCGCUGCAGCAUGUCCUUGGACCACCUCAGCACAGCGGGCCACUUGCACAGAGCAAUGCCGACAUCGGCAUCCGACCACCGCAAUGUCUUCUUUAACUGUUCCACUUUGGCGGCAAUCUUGUCCUCGCUGAAGCAUGCGACAGUCUGCAGCGCGUGCCUGAACAUCCCCGAGCCACGGGGCACGCCUAUGCCUUCGGCACACGCAACCAUUGCCAGGACGCGCCCUGGGCUGGCCGUGACGAUCCUCGGCAUUUGGAUGAGCAGCUUGGCAAUAUCACGAGCACCUAGCCCGCACUCCCGCAGCGCCGCGACAUUGGGCUUCACCACAAUGUCGAGGUCGACCGAGAAAAGGAACAAGCCGCGCCUGGCCGCCAAGAGGAGGUCCUCGGAGGACCCUAAGAGGGACAGGUAGUAGUGCGCCUUGGGGACGACGUUCUUGCGGCGGAAUCGGUCGGGGGAGAGCGAGACGAGGCGCGCGACCUCAGAGCGCGAGAGGCCGAGGCCGGUGAGCCCCGCGACGGCGGGGCCCAGGUUUCCCUCCACGCCGGCGCAGAGGAAGAGCGGGUCUUUGGCGACGACCGCGGCGACGUCGGCGCCGGAGAGGCCGAGGCCGGCGAGGAAGGCGAGGACGGCGUCGGGCUUGGCGGGGGACUUGAGGUGGGAGAGCUUCGCGGAGGCCUUGAGCGCCUUGGCUCGGGUCAGCCCGCAGGUGGAGACGAGGUAGUCCUCGACGGCGAAGCUAGGGUUUGGGGAAACGGCGGGCGCGGCGGCGGUGGAGAGGAGGCGCUGGAGAGAGAGGAGUGGGGAGGCGGUGCGAGAGGAGAGGAGGUGGGUGACGACGCAGCUGCGGAGGCGGAGCAUGGCGCAGGCGGCGGCGCCGGCGCCGGCGGCGAGGAGAUGGGGAAUGAUGGUGUGAGGCUAGGAGGAUGGGUCUCCUGAAGAUUUGCGUGGCACGUCAGUCUCUCUCACAGUGGGCUGGGCUGGGCUAACACUGGACACUAGAGGGACUCACUCGUUCAGGCCGUGUCUAUUUAGCAGAAAUAGCACAAAUGCUCAUGCGUUGUACAUUUUAUUUCAAAGUGAAACCAAUUUUAGGUUUAAAUACCGUUUGGAUUAUAGUUACUGUUCAACUAUAUUCCAAUUCAAUUUUUAAUAUGUUUUAAAAUUAGAAUACAAUACCUAAGAUGAAACUACAACUCACUAGGUUCAUCUUGCAAAAGAACCAAUCUAAUUGGAUUUAUUAUUUGCAUGUUAUGGCCUAUUUGAAUUUGAAUUCAUUCUGUUUGAAUUUGAAUUUUAAAUUAUUGAAUUUCCAAAUUUUAUUGGCCUAGGUGAAAGUGUAUUUCAUUGAGGUCAAUUUGCAAAAAGAAUCAUUCAAUUUGGACUUACAUAUAAAGAUGUUUGAUGGUUUUACUCCCUCCGUCCCAUAAUAUAAGAACGUUUUUAAAGCUAACAUAGCUUUAAAAACGUUCUUAUAUUAUGGGACGGAGGGAAUAGUAUCUAGGAGGUUUUCUGUAAAAAUUUGCAAAUCAAUUUAAUUAAAUGAUUUUCUUCUAGAUAUGGUUUUGGAUAAGGCUGUGACAUGUCGCAUUUUGGUUGGCUGAUAUCGAUUCGGUUUAAGUGAUUUGUGUGUGUUGCAUUGGAUCUAGAUCCAACGACUCAAAAUAGAUCAGAGGGUGCUAGGGUUUGGGCUCACCGGAGAUCUUUGCCGGAGAGUCACCGGAAAAUACGGGGAUGGCGGUGCUGCGUUUGGACCUCGUCAGAAAUGGAGCUCCGGUGGUUGUUUGGCGUCGAGAAGGGCUCGGCUGGACGCGAAAGACGACGAUGAGGUCGAAGGUGGUCCUGGCCGGGGCUGCGAAGGACGGAGAUGAGCGGGGUGAGCUCGUCGGAGAUGCGGCAAAAGCGAAGCUUCUCAGGCGUGGACGCGCACGACAAAGCCGUGCGCUCCUGGAUCAAUGGUUGGGUCAGUGAGAUGCGCGAGAACAAGAUGAAGACGAUGGACAUUGUGCGCUGCUCAAACGCGAGCUUACCUAGCCGGAUACGACGAUGGUGCACUUCAGACGUUGAUGAACUCGAGGUUGCAGAGGGCCUCAGGCUCGAAGAAGAUGUCCAGGUGAAAGAACAUGCGGUGCCCCCAUGUUUGGUUUUGGUAAUUGAUGACAAUCUCUAUGGACUAAUGGUUGCCUUGAGUUAUAUUUGAAGGAUUUGUCCAUAGGCAUUUCUUGAAGUCCAUGUGUUGAUUUCAAGGAGUUUAUCCAAAGAUUGGUCAUAUGAGAGUUGAGCUUAUUGCAAGCAUGUCUUGAAGAAGAAGAUUAUGUGAUCAUUCAUGUUUACCUUCAAGACAUCAUCCAAAUGAAGAGAGUUGGAAAGAGUCAAUGUUGAUCAAGACUAAGUCAAGAGUGAAUCAAGUUGAUCAACACACAAAGCGCACAAGAUGUACCGAGGGAUCAAGCGAUCCCAUGGUAUGGUAAGCAUUGUCAAUUACGCUUUGUGUACUAACCCAUGGUCUUCGUGAGAGUUCUUUGUGGGGUUAGGUUGCGGUGUGCAAGUUCAAGUGAAGCGGGCAAGUUCUAGUAAAGCAUCACGAAGAGAUCAAAUGCUUGAAGCCAUUGUGGUGACAAUGGACUUGUGAAGAUGUGCGGAAGGGUGGCUCACCCAUAGUGGAAUAUGGGGGAGCAAUCAACUAGUAUUCAUCGAGCCAACGCAAUCAAGAAAGGUGGUCCAUCUUGAGGGAGUCAAGAUCGUCAUCAUCUAGCUCAAGUGGACCAUGUGCAAGGCAAAGGUUUGCCCUUGAUAGGUUUUCUAUUUUACCGGUCUCAUGAUGGUAGUUGGGUGACAGGGUUAUAGGAUCGAUUGCCGUACUAUCAAGGGGGGCUCUCGACGAGUAGCUUGAUCGUAUCGUUCAUAGAGAGCUCAAACCAUUGCAUCCUUGCAUCAUCUUUAUUGAUUCUUGUUUGGUUCUUCUCUUUGUGAGUUCUGGAGCUUAUGGUCAUCUUGUUGACAAGCUCGAGUUCAUCGAAAACGGAGUUCACUCACAUCUUCUAUGAUGUUUUCGAUGUUGGAGGUUAUGCCGGUUCUUCUCGGUUGAAGGUUUCACUCCUCUAUUUUGAUGCUACUCGUCUUCCUCUAUCCAACAAGCUUGAGUUUGCUCAAUUCGGAGCUCAUAUGCAGAAGUUAUGGCAGUUUUGGUUUCCCGUGGAGUAUUCUUGUUUUCGUGGAAGUGGCUUUAGGAUGGUCCUAGCGGUAGUACCGCGGUACCCAGCGGUAGUACCGCUUAGGGGUCACAAGCGGCAGUACCGCUCCGCAGCGGUAGUACCGCUGGUGGGUCCUCAGCAGUAGUACCGCUACGGUACCAGGCCCUACCGCGUCGACUCGAGGGGUCAUUUUUCGUGUCGGAUAGUGCGGUACUUCGCAGCUGCAGUAGGGCGGCAGUACCGCUCACGAGCGGUAGUACCGCCCAACCACCGCGGCAGUACCGCUCGGGUCUGUCUCUCUCCUGCCCUCCAUACUCCACGGUAGUACCGCUGGGGUGAGCGGUAGUACCGCUUAUAAGCGGUACUACCGCCCCAAGGUUCAUGUUUUGUUGAUCCGUUUCCCUGCUUCUUUCGCCCGAGCGGUAGUACCGCUCGUGUGCGGGCUGAGCACAUAACGGUUGGAUUUCCCCCCUCCUAUAAAAGGGGGUCUUCUUCCCCAAUGAACCUUAUCCUUUGAGCUCGUGUUCUUCCCCCAUUGUUGACCUUCUUCGAGCUUGCUAACUCUCAAUCCCUCCAUGGAUUCUUGCUAGUUUUUGAGGGAAAAGAGAGAGGAGAUCUAGAUCCACAUUUCCACCAAUCACUUUCUCCUCUAUGUGAGGGGAACCCCUUGGAUCUAGAUCUUGGAGUUCUUGGUGUUCUCCUUCUUGUUCUUCCUCUUUUUUUCUUCCCUAGCAUUAGUUGCUUCGGUGGGAUUUGAGAGAGAAGGACUUGGGCACUCCGUGUGCCCUUGCCAUUGCAUUUGGUGCAUCGGUUUGAGUUCUCCACGGUGAUACGUGGAAGUUACAAGUUGAGAAGCUUAUUACUCUUGGGUGGUUGGUACCCUUGAGCUUGUUCCUCUUGGGUGCUUGGGUGCCCUAGACGGUUGGUGGUGUUCGGAGCUCACUCAUUGUGGUGUAAAGCUCCGGGCAAGCGUCGGGGUCUCCAAUUAGGUUGUGGAGAUCGCCCCGAGCAAUUUGACGGGUACCGGUGACCGCCCCCAAGGGUUGCCAAAGUGUACGGGUUCGGUGACCGCCCCCAAGGGUUGCCAUUUGUACGGGUUCGGUGACCGCCCUCAAGGGUCCCUUAGUGGAAUCACGGCAUCUUGCAUUGUGCGAAGGCGUGAGGAGAUUACGGUGGCCCUAGUGGCUUCUUGGGGAGCAUUGUGCCUCCACACCGCUCCAAACGGAGAUUAGCAUCCGCAAGGGUGUGAACUUCGGGAUACAUCGUUGUCUCCGCGUGCCUCGGUUAUCUCUUACCCGAACCCUUUACUUAUGCACUUUACUUUGUGAUAGCCAUAUUGUUUCUUGUCAUAUAUCUUGCUAUCACUUAGUUGUUUAUCUUGCUUAGCAUAAGUUGUUGGUGCACAUAGGUGAGCCUAGUUGUUGUAGGUUUUGUGCUUGUCAAAUUAACCGCUAGGUUUAUUCCGCAUUUGUUCAAGCCUAACCGUAAUUAUUUUAAAGCGCCUAUUCACCCCCCCCCCCUCUAGGCGACAUCCACGAUCUUUCACCAGGGGGUUCACCGGAGUGCCGUGGAUCGGGUGGUGGCAGUGGCUGGUCGAGAAGGGGUCGGUGUCGCCAGAAUUUUACCAGCAUUGAGCUAGGUUAGUGCGGCGAAGAGGGGGUCGCGGCGGAGGAGCCUGACGACAAGAGGAAUCGCGAGUUGGGGUAAAAGAGAGAGCGUGGGGAGAGGGAUUUAUAGGACAUGGCCGCGGGCGCUGGCGAGUGAGGGGAGGGGAGCGUGCGAACUGGGAUCGUGGACAUGGUUGUGGGCGGUUGGGAAUCGUGGGCGCGUGUGGGAGGUUAGGGAUGACCUGGCAUGCAUGUCCCGCAUGUGCAAUGGGUGAGAGGGAGAGAGAGGGGGCGUGCGGGUGACUUGGCUUGCUAGGCCGGCAAGUUGGGCUGUGUCCGAGCUGGCUGGCUCGUCUGGGCCCUUUUUUUAUUCCUGCUUUAGUUUUCUUCUUUUUCUUUUCUAUUUGGUCUGUAAAUUCAAAUGGUGUAUCUACAAACUUGCUCUAAAUUCCAAAUGGAAUAUUUCUGAUAGUGCCCACUUUUUUUUGGAAAUUUUGGACAAAUAAUUACUACACGUAUAUUUCCCUUUUGAAUUUGAAUUUGGUUUCAAAACCAAAUGUGUUUCAAAUCCAAUUUGAAAAAUAGGCAGAAGGUCAAACAUGUUGUUUGGACUUAUGGAAUUCCUUUUCCUACCAAAUAAUUGCAAAGCCAUUUUUAAACAAUUCCCUCUUUGAUUUUGGAUAGAUUCCAAAACAGAUCCAAUUCAAUUGUUUAGGGAAAAUUCAUUUGACUUUCAAUAUCAUUUGGGUCAUGUUAAGGAUAGCCUUAAGCCCAAAUAAAUAUUGCAACUGGUCAGCCUUCUUUGGGAUUCAAAAUUAUUCCCCAAAACUUUUGGGGUUCAUUCUAUUUUCUCAAAUUUCAAAGAAGGGUUUCAAAAGUGGCCAUGGGUCCUUGACUCUCUAGAUGAAUUCAAACAACUCAAUCAACAAGCAAUUAAUCAACGAUCAAGCAAUUUUUUGCUAUCUAGCUUUGAAGCAAUGGUUUUUCUAGGAAAAAUUUGUUUCCCUAUGAAAUUUUUAACAUACCAGAUUUGAAAAAAAAAACGUAUUUAGUACUCACACCGUUCGUUUUUUAAAUGAAAAAAAAUACUCAUGCUUUUAAAGAAUGCUUUAAUGGAGUUUGAAAACUCGUAUUAAAAUUUGCUUGAUUGUUGCAGGAAAUACUCAAGCAAUGGUUUUUAGCAAGCUCCAAAUGUGAACACUGAAGGUUUUUUACAAGUACAAAUUCGUAUUUCACUUGUCAUUAAAGCAUUCUUCAUCUUAAGUAAAUUAAAAAAGGGGGGCAUCCUUGCAACCUAUCUAAUGUACACGCUGAAAAAAAUUCAGGUAAGACAUACCCAUUUUACACCGCCAAUGCCCUACCUGAAGAUUGUCCUUUGUAUAAUACUACCUCCGUUCCUAAAUAUAAGUCUUUUUAGAUAUUUCAAAUAGACUACAAGAUACGGAUGUAUGUAGACAUAUUUUAGAGUGUAGAUUCACUCAUUUUGCUCCGUAUGUAGUCACUUGUUGUAAUCUCUAGAAAGACUUAUAUUUGGGAACGAAGGGAGUAGAAGGAAACUUAGGUAGUGGAUGAAGCUUGCUAUAUGCUUCAGUCGCUGAUUUAGUACAAAGUUGCACUAAAUCAGCGACAAAUUAUACGGAGCGGAGAGAGUACUAUUAUCAUCUUGCUCCCCCGCCAAAUGCAAGCCAAGAACCAGAGGGGAGCAUCUUGUCCAGAAAACAUCACACAUAAGAGGAAAAACCAGCAUUAUCGACAAAAUCUGAUCUACAUAAGAGAGAACUGCAAGCUAUCGACGAAGCGCACAUCAUACCAUGAGAAUGUUGUAUAAUGCUGUAACUCGCAGUUGAAGCCCUGGCCUUCACUGGAUUGUCUGUUAAACUAUCACUAGGCUCUGCUUCCCGCAUUUAAAAAAAACCCAGCAGACACUUUGUUACAGGUAAACAGAAUCAGUUAACUAUCAAUAGGCUCUGCUUCCCGCAAAACAAUAGACGUUCACAAAUUUUCUCUAAGGAUCAUGGAUAUAACUUCCCAGUAGAUACUUUGUUACAGGUAAACAGAAUCAGCUAAAAAACCAAUUCGACCAAGGCAUUAACUAAUACAUGUACACAUAGCUCUUAUGAUAGGCUAAACAUAUUAUGCAAUGCUCACGGAGAUAAUACACAACGGAUACCAGAAGGAAAUAGAGCAUGUCUGAAUAUUAUUUGCAGAUGGCACUUAAGAUACUUGGAAAAAAAAUUAGUGGUAACAGAAACUAUUCAUAAAGGCCAUGCUCAACAUGACAUGGCAGAGAUAUCAUGAAAAUAAAACUAGGACUGAGUUAUCUGGAAUACAUAAAAAAUAUUCCCAUCCAACAAGAACUAUGCAUGGGGCUGUAAAAUUUGAGUAUCAUCAUUUAGCCGAGAAGUGGGACACCAAAUUUUCUACAGAUAGCAUUUUUUCUGGGCACGGUCGAUUAUAAAUAAGAAUAACGUCUAUGCAUAACUGUGAUCAUAAGUCAAAAGAAACUGCAACAUAUCCUGUUCUUGGUUCAUGUAAAUCUGAAUCUAGCAGGCACCUCCCCUGUGCAAGCGGCUGCAUAGUCUUCAGCAAUGAGUGGCGCAGCUUGCUUGUGGGGGCGUAUGAACCUCUCCACAAAUACCUUCUCGCUUAUCAAGAGCAUACAAUAGUAGUCUUUGCCAUGACUCAGCAAUCCAUUUUCCUUAAGAAACCUCAUAACAUAGUACCGGGGCUUGAGCCGGCCCUCCAAGCUAAGACCGAGUAUUGCCGGACGGUGAGCAAUGUACGCCGGUUCCAACCCCACCUUAGAGAUGAGGAACUCGGACUUGCGCUGCAGCAUGUCCUUGGACCACCUCAGCACAGUGGGCCACUUGCACAGAGCAAUGCCGACAUCGGCAUCCGACCACCGCAAUGUCUUCUUUAACUGUUCCACUUUGGCGGCAAUCUUCUCCUCGCUGAAGCAUGCGACAGCCUGCAGCGCUUGCCUAAACAUCCCAGAGCCACGGGGCACGCCAAUGCGCUCGGCGCACGCGACCAUCGCGAGGGCGCGCUCCGGACUGACGGUGACGAUCCUCGGCAUUUGGAUGAGCAGCUUGGCAAUAUCGCGAGCACCUAGCCCGCACUCCCGCAGGACCGCGACGUUGGGCUUGACCACCCGGUCGAUGUCGACCGAGAGAAGGAACAAGCCGCGCUUGACCCCGGAGAGGAGGUCCUCGGAGGAGCCGAAGAGAGGAAGGUAGGAGCGCACCUUGGGGACGACGUUCUUGCGGCGGAAUCGGUCGGGGGAGAGCGAGACGAGGCGCGCGACCUCAGAGCGCGAGAGGCCGAGGCCGGUGAGCCCCGCGACGGCGGGGCCCAGGUUUCCCUCCACGCCGGCGCAGAGGAAGAGCGGGUCUUUGGCGACGACCGCGGCGACGUCGGCGCCGGAGAGGCCGAGGCCGGCGAGGAAGGCGAGGACGGCGUCGGGCUUGGCGGGGGACUUGAGGUGGGAGAGCUUCGCGGAGGCCUUGAGGGCCUGCGCUCGGGUCAGCCCGCAGGUGGAGACGAGGUACUCCUCCACUUCGAAGCCGGAGUUGGGGGAGACGGUGGGCGCGGCGGCGCUUGAGAGGAGGCGGUGGAGAGAGGGGAGUGGGGAGGUGGUGGGAGAGGAUAGGAGGUGGGAGAGAACGCAGGUCCGGAGGCGGAGCAUGGCGGCGGCGGCGGCGCGGCGGCGGCGGAAUGGGGAACGAUGGCGAGGCGGAGGAGACUCGUGCAGAUUUGAUGGUCCAACACGACAUGGGCUGGGCUUUAAUCGGGCUUAAAAGAAUUGUUUUCUUUCUCUUCUCCUUUUGAUUUUUGUUUUGUUCUUCCUGAUUUUUGAGUGCAAUAGUCAAGCGAUAUUGAGCCACACCUGAAUCAUAUAUAGGACUAACCGCUUUCAAACAGUAAUUAUGUGAGAAAUAUAUCUGAAAUCAUAGUAUAUUGUAGACCUAUGUACAUUACUUGGCUAGGAAAAAAUAUAUAUAGGCCUAAAGCACCCGACGUAGAGCAGACACUUUACUUGUAUCGAUGGAUUAUUAAACUCGCUAUAACAUGUCAGACACACUUUUUUAAUGAAAAGUUGGGUAUUUAUUCUAGAUUUGCAGGAUUACAAUCGGCAGUGACUAGCUCAGCAAUACAAGGGAAAAUUGAUAAACAACAUGUCAAUGAGCUAAUGAGUCACACCAAAGCUCUUUGUAAACUUUUAGUAUGCUCUAGAGUUUCCGAUUUUUUACGUAUACCUAAUGAUAAUCUAGAAACCACUAUAUGAUUAUUUUUGAACUGGUCACAUUACAGAUCUCUAACAAGAUAUUUAAAGAUACAGACAAACAUAUAUAGACACAUAUUAUUUCGAGAUAGCAUGUCAUUUGUGCUUUCUUAUUUUGUCACAUUUACACGGAUUGAGUUUAAAUAUCUAUUUUAAGGUGCAUUGUACCAAAAAAAAAGAAUAUACCUUUCAUAAAAAAUAGGUCAAAUUUGACAUUAUGAAUGUGUUUUCUGAAAACAACAUAACACAAAUGUAUAAUAAAGAAUAUUAUUAGUUAACAUUGUGUAACUAACUAUACUAUAUAAUAUUGUGCUUUAAAAAAUGAGUUAUAAAUAAGUUAAAAAAUAACUGACGACAGAGACAGAUUUGCUGUCUGCGAUUUUUAUUACAGACGGUAAAGACUUACUUUGCCGUCUACGUUUUUUUUAUUACAUACGGCAAACACUUACUUUACCAUCUGUAGAAAGAACCGCAGACGGCAAUUUGCCGUCUGUAAUAAAAAUCGCAGACGACAAAGACAUACUUUGCCGUUUGUAAUUAAAACCGCAGACGACAAAGAAGAAACACACCUGGCGGAUCGAUCUCCUGGAUCGAUGAGGUGGCACAAUCGGCACCACACGUCUCCCUGAUCUCUCCCCCAUGCGGCCAGGCCCCCACCAUGUUCUAUCUUCCACACCCCUCACCACGUUCUCUCUCCCAACCGGCCCCACCUACUUCUCUUUCCCACACCCCGAUGUGUAGUUUUCAUUGCUAGCACCUCGUCCCACCCACCUCAACUAGUGAGUUGUGCAACUUUAGGGUGACGUCUAUAGACAACUUUUUUCUACCCUCAUGGUCUCAUGGAUAUACAAUUUUUUCACCAUCCAACAAAUCCCUGCCAGUGAGAUGUGCAAAUUAUCUGUUACCCAGGCCAACUGCAAGCAGACUAUGUGCAACUUCGCCUUUUACCCCUGCCAACUAAAACUACAUUUCCAUAAGUAGCAAAGGGAAGGAGUUGCACAUCGACUACUAGCAAGUUAGUGAAACAACAGACUAAGUUCGACAUAUAGCUGGUAGGGUAGGUCGAGCAUGGUGUGCCAGUAGUGAAAAACUACAUCAUCCACGAGUAGAGAGGAGAGGGUUGCACAUCGACUACUAGGUAGUUGGCCAAGGUAGUAGACUAGUUGCUUGCACAACAUAAAAAGUUUGAUGUCAUGGUUGCUUGGUUGCAAUAUCAUAAGAAUUUGGAUCAUGCAGCAGCAAACUUGGUUUACAAAAAAAUUGCACAAUCCAGUACUAAAGUUGCGCCAUGUAGUAAUAGAGUUGCACAAUAUAGCACCAAAGUUGGCAUAAAAAAUCCGUCAAAAUAUACCCAUGUGAGAUCUAGUUUCAAAAAUCUCGUCGCGAGGAUUCCAGCAGUGAAAACUGAUAUGAAUUCUGAAAAACAGUUUAAAAGAUAUGACUUUUUAAAAAUUUGAAAACCCGAAUAAAUGGACAUGCGCAUCCAUCUGACAAGGGAAUAAAUGCGGUGUCUUUCCCAUGUGACCAUCCCAUUAGUACAUGCCAUGUCACAAAUAAAGACAAAAUUUAGACCACAAGAUUACAUGCAUGCAUGCCUGUGUAAGACCGGCCGCUCGUUUUCUUUUGAUUAGUCCGUACACACUUUUUAGAAUUUAGGCCAAUUAAAUGACCAAUCUAUUAAGACCCUAGUUGGUGUGUAUCACUGACGGACCCGAUACCUCUUGUUGACUAUCUAACUAUUUCUUAAUUUUUUGACCUAUAUUUGGUCAUAAAUUUGCAAACAAAAUCUUGAACAAAUUCGAAAAAUGGAGUUGUGUAAGAGCUUUACUCAUAAGCCACAGGUUUUCUUAACAAAAUUUCAUGGAUUUGGCCCAGUUAGUCCAAGACCUUUUCGACAUCAUCCGGGGCAACAAAGAUGUUGAUGGGUUGGGUCUAUGGUCCAUUGGGCUGUUUUCAUUUCGUUGAAUCCUAAACUUGUCUACCCACGGAUACAACUCAAGCAACCCUCAUUCCAUCUAGGUUCAGACCCCAAGAUUUUUUUUAACAUCUAAUGCACUAAGCACAAAAAGAUCCCCAAAACAGGUGAAAAUUUAUUUAUUUAAAAAUGGUGCUAUGAUGGAUUUAUUUAUACAAAAAUAAUUAAAUUAAUUAUUUACAAUGCACAUAUGCUAUCUUUGGCUCUACAAGUCUGGCCAUGUGAGCAUUUUAUAUUUUGCUUACAUAUUUUUUUUUCUUAUAGUAAACAUCUUGCUUAAUUACUAACAUGAAAUAGUUUUUUAAUGAUGAAAACUUCCACACCAUGAUGUUACAAAACUACACAUCUCACUACUCAAGUAUGAAGAACUAUAUAUUCCCAAGCAUAUACGAAAAUUUGCAAGCGCGGACGAGCUCGGAAUCGCCAGGCGCUCGUUUCCUUGGGGAUAUGAGCUGCGUCAGGUAUUGUCGGGCGUAUGUAUAGAUCCUUAUUUUUCGGCCAUAUGGGUGGUGGCAGACCCUCGUGAAUAACGGACGGCCGUUUGCUGGACCGAUCUGUGCCAUUGGUCACAUUUUACAUGCAAGACGGUACGUAACGGGCGACCUGUGAACGUCUGCAACUGCGACUGGGGCACACCAGGUAGCUGCGAAAUACUAUAAUAGUAGUUCUUGCUAGAUUAGACCAUAUCGAAGUCAUACGACACAAACAGAGACUCGAUGUCCAUCACAUAUCAGGCUAAUACUGUUGCCAUGCGAUUGAGACACACACAUUCGCAGGUACUGGAACGAGAUACACUUUUUCGUGUGUGUAGAGCUAGCUAGCUACUCCAUCCAUGCAGCUUGAUUGAUUUACACUUUUUCGUGUGUCUAGAGCUAGCUAGCUACUCCAUCCAUGCAGCUUGAUUGAUUUACAAUUUUUCGUGUGUGUAGAGCUAGCUAGCUACUCCAUCCAUGCAGCUUGAUUGAUUGUAGUACGAGCAGCUUGCUGCUUGCUGCUAAAUAUCAAUGAAAAAAAUAACGCGCUACAGAAAAUAGCGUGGCCCCUGAAAAUAUGCUAUUAGCAUGCUAUAGCGCGCUAUAGCGUGCUAUUAGCGAGGCAUUGUACAUUGAUUUAUUUAGCGAGACAAUUCUCUAUAUGCUAUAGCGUGCUAUUAGCGGUGUUAUAGCGCGCUAUUUUUUUCAAUGCUAAAUAUGCACGGAAUGAGUUCUUGCUUGCGGCUGCAUUAGAUGGGUUCGCCGCCCGCAUCUGUUGGCAGUAGAUGGAUUCACCGGCGGCUUGCUGAUGCAUCUUCACGGAAUGUCUCGUGUUGUUGCACGCAACUGCCAAGACGAUGAGUCAACGGCCGUCGAUGAGCCAAGCUGCCAAAGGAUGGAAGGAGCAACAUAUGUUGGAAUACCAUGUAAUUUUGCUGUUGGUUUUUUCUCAACAACAAAGAAACUGUGCUUUUAGAUUGAAAAUCUCCCUGAUUGCUCGCCAUGCUCCGCCACUGGUUCCAGGGGCUAGAUGUGGUACUUACAGGUGUUGGGAGCAGUCUUGAGCAUGACACCAACCCACUGUCAGCACUGUGUUUCAAUUUGUGAUGUUGAUUAGUACUAGAAAACUGCCUGUUGAGCACGGAAAUGGAAUCCAGAACAAAAACACUAGGGAAUACCUGCUGCAGCUGGGAUGUACCCCAGAGUUUUAUGGCCAUGAAAAAGUAGCAACACGCUAGUCCGGAAAGAAUUCACAAAGACAUCGGCAUAUGCUGUGCAGAAUAAGCUUGCUGGUCCGGGUGUGCUUCUUUAUCAUUUGCCUACGGAUAGAGCAUGUCUGAAUAUUAUUAUUUUUGGUCGGAUCAAUACUUGUAAUUAUUUUUUUUACGGGAAUCAUAUGAGAGCCCAGUUCUUUUGCUAGAAUCUGAGGAUUCUCCCAGAAUCCGACCCCUACUCAGUUUCUCCCAGAAUCUUUGAGCCCCAUUUGUUUUACAAUCCUAUCUAAUUAGGGUCUAAUUAGAUAGGAUUGUAAAACAAAUGGGGCUCAAAGAUUCUGGGAGAAGCUGGGUAGGGGUCGGAUUCUGGGAGAAUCCCUAGAUUCUGACAAAAGAACUGGGCCGAAAUAUGAAAGGCAUUGUUUUCGUCAGUACAACUCCAUCCAAUAUUAGGGGCUGUUUGAAUCCGGGCCAAUGCUUACCAUACCAAAAAUUUGGCGUUGACUGAUUAUAUGGGCCAACUUUGGUUUGAAGCCCACACCAAUAUUUUGGUCGCUAGUUUUAGUUUUGCGCCCAUGGCAGGGGUGGCGGAUUCGUCCGCCAAACUAUUGGCUCGCCCUGAGUUGGCAGGCCCAUCAUGGGUGAAAUCCAAACAACCCCUUAGUGAACAUGCUUAAAGUUCUCAACCAACGUGCAUACUCCCUCCGUUCCAAAUUACUCGUCUCAGAAAUGGAUGUAUCUAAAACUAAAAUACAUCUAGAUACAUCCAUACCUGCGACAAGUAAUUCGGAACGGAGGGAGUACCUUUUAGUCAAUAGUGCACAAUUUGACAAUGAAUCACGUGCUAGAAAAACAAAAGGUAGGCUGUCUGGGGAAGUGACCUAAUAUCAGCAUCAAAAAUAAAAAAAUUACCAUAAAAGACAAUACCGUGAUCACGAUGUUGCUUUUUGCACAGGAUCAAUGACGACUAACCUUGUUUUCCUUUGGUUAUUGUACGCACACAAUUUGAUGUAGAGGAACUCUUGGUUGGGCAAUAUACAGUGUAAUGUGUGUAGUCAAACAAAACUUGUGUUCUUUUUGGCCCGUGGCACAAAAAUUGCAUUAUCAGCAAAAGGGGCUCGCUUCCACGGAUUUUGUGUUGGCACCAAAAGCCAAGCAAGUUUCCGUACAAAUAUUUCUAGUAUACCGUAAGUCAGUGUAUCUGAAUCUGUGAAAUUAACUACCAUGAAACCAAGCUAACGAAAAGGAGUAAAGAUAACAAUCAAGGUGGAGAUGCUAUGUCAGAAGCUGACACCUUAGUUACUUGACAGGUACUAGAGUACUUGAUAGGCAGCGACGGGAGGUUGGUUAAGCCAACAGGAGUGCUAUCGCGGCUACGUCCAAAGGGAAAGUGGAUAAACAGCAUGUUAAUGAGCUUGAGUCAUGGCAAGCUCUUUGUAAACUUUUAGUAUGCUCUAGAAUUUCCUAAUUGCGUACACCUAAUGAUAAUCUGGAAACCACUGUAUGAAUGUUCUAGAACCAGUCGCAUUAAAGAUCUCUACCAGGAUAUUUAAAGACACAGACAAACAUAUAUAGACACAAAUUAUUUCGAGAUAGCAUGUCAUUUGUGCUUUUUUAUUUUGUCUCAUUUACAUGAAUUGGGUUUGAAUAUCUAUUUAAGGUGCAUUGUACCGAAGAAACGAAUAUACCUUUCAUAUAAAAUAAGUCAAAAUUGACAUUAUGAUUGUGUUUUUUGAAAACAAGAUAAUACAAAUGUAUCAUAAAGAAUAUUAUUAUCAAAAUCUAACAUUAUCGUCAUCUGGUUCAUUGUGUAACUAACUACACUAUAUAAUGUUAUGCUUUAAUAAAAGUGAGUUAUAAAUAAGUUAAAAUUUAGUAUAUAUACAUUUAAUUCCAUUUUGCGGGUCAAAAUUUGACUGGAAAAUGCUCCCUCUAUGUCAUUUUUUAUUAAACAGUUCUGGUUUGCAAUUCACUAAGAACUCGGAUCAAAUAUUAGAAAAUGUGGAAGUGAUUAUAUGCAUGAAAUAUCUGAAAAAUUAAAGGACGUGUCUACCGAGCAGCCGUUGGCUCGGUAGCACUCCAGGGCAGUCUUUUUCUUUUUAGUAUAUUUCUGUCCUAAUCAAAUAGAUUAGGAAUAUUCUGUCCUUCUAAAAUAAAAUGCCAAAGACCAUGCACGUGAUUAGACAAAAUUUUAAAACAGGUAUGAACGCACUUUAUUUGGAUUUCAAAAUUUUAGAAAAGUCAUAAAUUUUAAACUGAACAUCGGAAUUAAGAUCCGCUUUCAACGUUGGAAUCCUCGUGACAUGCUCUUCAAAAGUAGAUCCCGCAUGAGUAUGUUUUGACAAACAUUUUUUGUACAAUUUUGUCCCCGUUUUGUGCAACUGUCUAGUUGUCGAUGUGUAACUACAUAAUAGUCGACGUGCAACUUCCUCUACCCAUGGACGUGGCGUUUUCACUGAUGGCACCUCGCCCCAAACUACCCACUAUCAACUGAGAUGUGCAACUUCGUCUACUGCCCCAACCAUCUGCCUGAUAGUCGAUGUGCAACUUUUCCCCUCUGGUUGGAAGUGUAAUUUUCAUUGUUUGCUGCCAUGGCUAACUGCCUAGCAAUGGAUGUGCAACUUCAGAUACUACCCCGGCCAGCUGCCUAACAGCGGAUGUGCAACUUUUUCCCGUACCCCAUGGCACUACGGGAAACAGAAGAUUUGUCGUCAGCAUUUCGUUGGGGUAGACGGCAAAGAAAGGGUUUGCCAUCAUCAGCAGACGACAAAGAAUAACUGACGACAAAGACAGAUUUGCUGUCUGCGAUUUUUAUUACAGACGGUAAAGACUUACUUUGCCGUCUACGUUUUUAUUACAUACGGCAAACACUUACUUUACCAUCUGUAGAAAGAACCGCAGACGGCAAUUUGCCGUCUGUAAUAAAAAUCGCAGACGACAAAGAGAUACUUUGCCGUUUGUAAUUAAAACCGCAGACGACAAAGAAGAAACACACCUGGCGGAUCGAUCUCCUGGAUCGAUGAGGUGGCACAAUCGAUACCACACGUCUCCCUGAUCUCUCCCCCACGCGGCCAGGCCCCCACCAUGUUCUAUCUUCCACACCCCUCACCACGUUCUCUCUCCCAACCGGCCCCACCUACUUCUCUUUCCCACACCCCGGUGUGUAGUUUUCAUUGCUAGCACCUCGUCCCACCCACCUCAACUAGUGAGUUGUGCAACUUUAGGGUGACGUCUAUAGACAACUUUUUUCUACCCUCAUGGUCUAAUGGAUGUACAAUUUUUUCACCAUCCAACAAAUCCNNNNNNNNNNNNNNNNNNNNNNNNNNNNNNNNNNNNNNNNNNNNNNNNNNNNNNNNNNNNNNNNNNNNNNNNNNNNNNNNNNNNNNNNNNNNNNNNNNNNCUAUUUUUUUCAAUGCUAAAUAUGCACGGAAUGAAUUCUUGCUUGCGGCUGCAUUAGAUGGGUUCGCCGGCUGCUUGCCGCAUCUGUUGGCAGUAGAUGGAUUCACCGGCGGCUUGCUGAUGCAUCUUCACGGAAUGUCUCGUGCUGUUGCACGCAACUGCCAAGACGAUGAGUCAACGGCCGUCGAUGAGCCAAGCUGCCAAAGGAUGGAAGGAGCAACAUAUGUUGGAAUACCAUGUAAUUUUGCUGUUGGUUUUUUCUCAACAACAAAGAAACUGUGCUUUUAGAUUGAAAAUCUCCCUGAUUGCUCGCCAUGCUCCGCCACUGGUUCCAGGGGCUAGAUGUGGUACUUACAGGUGUUGGGAGCAGUCUUGAGCAUGACACCAACCCACUGUCAGCACUGUGUUUCAAUUUGUGAUGUUGAUCAGUACUAGAAAACUGCCUGUUGAGCACGGAAAUGGAAUCCAGAACAAAAACACUAGGGAAUACCUGCUGCAGCUGGGAUGUACCCCAGAGUUGUAUGGCCAUGAAAAAGUAGCAACACGCUAGUCCGGAAAGAAUUCACAAAGACAUCGGCAUAUGCUGUGCAGAAUAAGCUUGCUGGUCCGGGUGUGCUUCUUUAUCAUUUGCCUACGGAUAGAGCAUGUCUGAAUAUUAUUAUUUUUGGUCGGAUCAAUACUUGUAAUUAUUUUUUUUACGGGAAUCAUAUGAGAGCCCAGUUCUUUUGCUAGAAUCUGAGGAUUCUCCCAGAAUCCGACCCCUACUCAGUUUCUCCCAGAAUCUUUGAGCCCCAUUUGUUUUACAAUCCUAUCUAAUUAGGGUAUAAUUAGAUAGGAUUGUAAAACAAAUGGGGCUCAAAGAUUCUGGGAGAAGCUGGGUAGGGGUCGGAUUCUGGGAGAAUCCCUAGAUUCUGACAAAAGAACUGGGCCGAAAUAUGAAAGGCAUUGUUUUCGUCAGUACAACUCCAUCCAAUAUUAGGGGCUGUUUGAAUCCGGGCCAAUGCUUACCAUACCAAAAAUUUGGCGUUGACUGAUUAUAUGGGCCAACUUUGGUUUGAAGCCCACACCAAUAUUUUGGUCGCUAGUUUUAGUUUUGCGCCCAUGGCAGGGGUGGCGGAUUCGUCCGCCAAACUAUUGGUUCGCCCUGAGUUGGCAGGCCCAUCAUGGGUGAAAUCCAAACAACCCCUUAGUGAACAUGCUUAAAGUUCUCAACCAACGUGCAUACUCCCUCCGUUCCAAAUUACUCGUCUCAGAAAUGGAUGUAUCUAAAACUAAAAUACAUCUAGAUACAUCCAUACCUGCGACAAGUAAUUCGGAACGGAGGGAGUACCUUUUAGUCAAUAGUGCACAAUUUGACAAUGAAAAAUCACGUGCUAGAAAAACAAAAGGUAGGCUGUCUGGGGAAGUGACCUAAUAUCAGCAUCAAAAAUAAAAAAAUUACCAUAAAAGACAAUACCGUGAUCACGAUGUUGCUUUUUGCACAGGAUCAAUGACGACUAACCUUGUUUUCCUUUGGUUAUUGUACGCACACAAUUUGAUGUAGAGGAACUCUUGGUUGGGCAAUAUACAGUGUAAUGUGUGUAGUCAAACAAAACUUGUGUUCUUUUUGGCCCGUGGCACAAAAAUUGCAUUAUCAGCAAAAGGGGCUCGCUUCCACGGAUUUUGUGUUGGCACCAAAAGCCAAGCAAGUUUCCGUACAAAUAUUUCUAGUAUACCGUAAGUCAGUGUAUCUGAAUCUGUGAAAUUAACUACCAUGAAACCAAGCUAACGAAAAGGAGUAAAGAUAACAAUCAAGGUGGAGAUGCUAUGUCAGAAGCUGACACCUUAGUUACUUGACAGGUACUAGAGUACUUGAUAGGCAGCGACGGGAGGUUGGUUAAGCCAACAGGAGUGCUAUCGCGGCUACGUCCAAAGGGAAAGUGGAUAAACAGCAUGUUAAUGAGCUUGAGUCAUGGCAAGCUCUUUGUAAACUUUUAGUAUGCUCUAGAAUUUCCUAAUUGCGUACACCUAAUGAUAAUCUGGAAACCACUGUAUGAAUGUUCUAGAACCAGUCGCAUUAAAGAUCUCUACCAGGAUAUUUAAAGACACAGACAAACAUAUAUAGACACAAAUUAUUUCGAGAUAGCAUGUCAUUUGUGCUUUUUUAUUUUGUCUCAUUUACAUGNNNNNNNNNNAUGAGUAUGUUUUGACAAACAUUUUUUUGUACAAUUUUGUCCCCGUUUUGUGCAACUGUCUAGUUGUCGAUGUGCAACUACAUAAUAGUCGACGUGCAACUUCCUCUACCCAUGGACGUGUCGUUUUCACUGAUGGUACCUCGCCCCAAACUACCCACUAUCAACUGAGAUGUGCAACUUCGUCUACUGCCCCAACCAUCUGCCUGAUAGUCGAUGUGCAACUUUUCCCCUCUGGUUGGAAGUGUAAUUUUCAUUGUUUGCUGCCAUGGCUAACUGCCUAGCAAUGGAUGUGCAACUUCAGAUACUACCCCGGCCAGCUGCCUAACAGCGGAUGUGCAACUUUUUCCCGUACCCCAUGGCACUACGGGAAACAGAAGAUUUGUCGUCAGCAUUUCGUUGGGGUAGACGGCAAAGAAAGGGUUUGCCAUCAUCAGCAGACGACAAAGAAUAACUGACGACAAAGACAGAUUUGCUGUCUGCGAUUUUUAUUACAGACGGCAAAGACUUACUUUGCCGUCUACGUUUUUAUUACAUACGGCAAACACUUACUUUACCAUCUGUAGAAAGAACCGCAGACGGCAAUUUGCCGUCUGUAAUAAAAAUCGCAGACGACAAAGAGAUACUUUGCCGUUUGUAAUUAAAACCGCAGACGACAAAGAAGAAACACACCUGGCGGAUCGAUCUCCUGGAUCGAUGAGGUGGCACAAUCGAUACCACACGUCUCCCUGAUCUCUCCCCCACGCGGCCAGGCCCCCACCAUGUUCUAUCUUCCACACCCCUCACCACGUUCUCUCUCCCAACCGGCCCCACCUACUUCUCUUUCCCACACCCCGGUGUGUAGUUUUCAUUGCUAGCACCUCGUCCCACCCACCUCAACUAGUGAGUUGUGCAACUUUAGGGUGACGUCUAUAGACAACUUUUUUCUACCCUCAUGGUCUCAUGGAUGUACAAUUUUUUCACCAUCCAACAAAUCCCUGCCAGUGAGAUGUGCAAAUUUAUCUGUUACCCAGGCCAACUGCAAGCAGACUAUGUGUAACUUCGCUUUUUACCCCUGCCAACUAAAACUACAUUUCCACAAGUAGCGAAGGGAAGGAGUUGCACAUCGACUACUAGCAAGUUAGUGAAACAACAGACUAAGUUCGACAUAUAGCUGGUAGGGUAGGUCGAGCAUGGUGUGCCAGUAGUGAAAAACUACAUCAUCCACGAGUAGAGAGGAGAGGGUUGCACGUCGACUACUAGGUAGUUGGCCGAGGUAGUAGACUAGUUGCACAACAUACAAAGUUUGAUGUCAUGGUUGCUUGGUUGCAAUAUCAUAAGAAUUUGGAUCAUGCAGCAGCAAACUUGGUUUACAAAAAAAUUGCACAAUCCAGUACUAAAGUUGCGCCAUGUAGUAAUAGAGUUGCACAAUAUAGCACCAAAGUUGGCAUAAAAAAUCCGUCAAAACAUACCCAUGUGAGAUCUAGUUUCAAAAAUCUCGUCGCGGGGAUUCCAGCAGUGAAAACUGAUCUGAAUUCUGAAAAACAGUUUAAAAGAUAUGACUUUUUAAAAAUUUGAAAACCCGAAUAAAUGGAUAUGCGCAUCCAUCUGACAAGGGAAUAAAUGCGGUGUCUUUCCCAUGUGACCAUCCCAUUAGUACAUGCCAUGUCACAAAUAAAGACAAAAUUUAGACCACAAGAUUACAUGCAUGCCUGUGUAAGACCGGCCGCUCGUUUCUUCUGAUUAGUGUGUACACACUUUUUAGAAUUUAGGCCAAUUAAAUGACCAAUCUAUUAAGACCCUAGUUGGUGUGUAUCACUGACGGACCCGAUACCUCUUGUUGACUAUCUAACUAUUUCUUAAUUUUUUGACCUAUAUUUGGUCAUAAAUUUGCAAACAAAAUCUUGAACAAAUUCGAGAAAUGGAGUUGUGUAAGAGCUUUACUCAUAAGCCACAGGUUUUUUUUAACAAAAUUUCAUGGAUUUGGCCCAGUUAGUCCAAGACCUUUUCGACAUCAUCCGGGGCAACAAAGAUGUUGAUGGGUUGGGUCUAUGGUCCAUUGGGCUGUUUUCAUUUCGUUGAAUCCUAAACUUGUCUACCUACGGAUACAACUCAAGCAACCCUCAUUCCAUCUAGGUUCAGACCCCAACAUUUUUUUAACAUCUAAUGCACUAAGCACAAAAAGAUCCCCAAAACAGGUGAAAAUUUAUUUAUUUAAAAAUGGUGCUAUGAUGGAUUUAUUUAUACAAAAAUAAUUAAAUUAAUUAUUUACAAUGCAAAUAUGCUAUCUUUGGCUCUACAAGUUUGGCCAUGUGAGCAUUUUAUAUUUUGCUUACAUUUUUUUUCUUAUAGUAAACAUCUUGCUUAAUUACUAACAUGAAAUAGUUUUUUAAUGAUGAAAACUUCCACACCAUGAUGUUACAAAACUACACAUCUCACUACUCAAGUAUGAAGAACUAUAUAUUCCCAAGCGUAUACGAAAAUUUGCAAGCGCGGACGAGCUCGCACGCUCUCGGAAUCGCCAGGCGCUCGUUUCCUUCGGGAUAUGAGCUGCGUCAGGUAUUGUCGGGCGUUUAUAUAGAUCCUUAUUUUUCGGCCAUAUGGGUGGUGGCAGACCCUCGUGCAUAACGGACGGCCGUUUGCUGGACCGAUCUGUGCCAUUGGUCACGUUUUACAUGCAAGACGGUACGUAACGGGCGACCUGUGAACGUCUGCAACUGCGACUGGGGCACACCAGGUAGCUGCGAAAUAAAUAAUAGUAGUUCUUGCUAGAUUAGACCAUAUCGAAGUCAUACGACACAAACAGAGACUCGAUGUCCGUCACAUAUCAGGCUAAUACUCUUGCCAUGCGAUUGAGACACACACAUUCACAGGUACUGGAACGAGAUACACUUUUUCGUGUGUGUAGAGCUAGCUAGCUACUCCAUCCAUGCAGCUUGAUUGAUUUACACUUUUUCGUGUGUCUAGAGCUAGCUAGCUACUCCAUCCAUGCAGCUUGAUUGAUUUACAAUUUUUCGUGUGUGUAGAGCUAGCUAGCUACUCCAUCCAUGCAGCUUGAUUGAUUGUAGUACGAGCAGCUUGCUGCUUGCUGCUAAAUAUCAAUGAAAAAAAUAACGCGCUACAGAAAAUAGCGUGGCCCCUGAAAAUAUGCUAUUAGCAUGCUAUAGCGCGCUAUAGCGUGCUAUUAGCGAGGCAUUAUACAUUGAUUUAUUUAGCGAGACAAUUCUCUAUAUGCUAUAGCGUUCUAUUAGCGGUGUUAUAGCGCGCUAUUUUUUUCAAUGCUAAAUAUGCACGGAAUGAAUUCUUGCUUGCGGCUGCAUUAGAUGGGUUCGCCGGCUGCUUGCCGCAUCUGUUGGCAGUAGAUGGAUUCACCGGCGGCUUGCUGAUGCAUCUUCACGGAAUGUCUCGUGCUGUUGCACGCAACUGCCAAGACGAUGAGUCAACGGCCGUCGAUGAGCCAAGCUGCCAAAGGAUGGAAGGAGCAACAUAUGUUGGAAUACCAUGUAAUUUUGCUGUUGGUUUUUUCUCAACAACAAAGAAACUGUGCUUUUAGAUUGAAAAUCUCCCUGAUUGCUCGCCAUGCUCCGCCACUGGUUCCAGGGGCUAGAUGUGGUACUUACAGGUGUUGGGAGCAGUCUUGAGCAUGACACCAACCCACUGUCAGCACUGUGUUUCAAUUUGUGAUGUUGAUCAGUACUAGAAAACUGCCUGUUGAGCACGGAAAUGGAAUCCAGAACAAAAACACUAGGGAAUACCUGCUGCAGCUGGGAUGUACCCCAGAGUUGUAUGGCCAUGAAAAAGUAGCAACACGCUAGUCCGGAAAGAAUUCACAAAGACAUCGGCAUAUGCUGUGCAGAAUAAGCUUGCUGGUCCGGGUGUGCUUCUUUAUCAUUUGCCUACGGAUAGAGCAUGUCUGAAUAUUAUUAUUUUUGGUCGGAUCAAUACUUGUAAUUAUUUUUUUUACGGGAAUCAUAUGAGAGCCCAGUUCUUUUGCUAGAAUCUGAGGAUUCUCCCAGAAUCCGACCCCUACUCAGUUUCUCCCAGAAUCUUUGAGCCCCAUUUGUUUUACAAUCCUAUCUAAUUAGGGUCUAAUUAGAUAGGAUUGUAAAACAAAUGGGGCUCAAAGAUUCUGGGAGAAGCUGGGUAGGGGUCGGAUUCUGGGAGAAUCCCUAGAUUCUGACAAAAGAACUGGGCCGAAAUAUGAAAGGCAUUGUUUUCGUCAGUACAACUCCAUCCAAUAUUAGGGGCUGUUUGAAUCCGGGCCAAUGCUUACCAUACCAAAAAUUUGGCGUUGACUGAUUAUAUGGGCCAACUUUGGUUUGAAGCCCACACCAAUAUUUUGGUCGCUAGUUUUAGUUUUGCGCCCAUGGCAGGGGUGGCGGAUUCGUCCGCCAAACUAUUGGCUCGCCCUGAGUUGGCAGGCCCAUCAUGGGUGAAAUCCAAACAACCCCUUAGUGAACAUGCUUAAAGUUCUCAACCAACAUGCAUACUCCCUCCGUUCCAAAUUACUCGUCUCAGAAAUGGAUGUAUCUAAAACUAAAAUACAUCUAGAUACAUCCAUACCUGCGACAAGUAAUUCGGAACGGAGGGAGUACCUUUUAGUCAAUAGUGCACAAUUUGACAAUGAAAAAUCACGUGCUAGAAAAACAAAAGGUAGGCUGUCUGGGGAAGUGACCUAAUAUCAGCAUCAAAAAUAAAAAAAUUACCAUAAAAGACAAUACCGUGAUCACGAUGUUGCUUUUUGCACAGGAUCAAUGACGACUAACCUUGUUUUCCUUUGGUUAUUGUACGCACACAAUUUGAUGUAGAGGAACUCUUGGUUGGGCAAUAUACAGUGUAAUGUGUGUAGUCAAACAAAACUUGUGUUCUUUUUGGCCCGUGGCACAAAAAUUGCAUUAUCAGCAAAAGGGGCUCGCUUCCACGGAUUUUGUGUUGGCACCAAAAGCCAAGCAAGUUUCCGUACAAAUAUUUCUAGUAUACCGUAAGUCAGUGUAUCUGAAUCUGUGAAAUUAACUACCAUGAAACCAAGCUAACGAAAAGGAGUAAAGAUAACAAUCAAGGUGGAGAUGCUAUGUCAGAAGCUGACACCUUAGUUACUUGACAGGUACUAGAGUACUUGAUAGGCAGCGACGGGAGGUUGGUUAAGCCAACAGGAGUGCUAUCGCGGCUACGUCCAAAGGGAAAGUGGAUAAACAGCAUGUUAAUGAGCUUGAGUCAUGGCAAGCUCUUUGUAAACUUUUAGUAUGCUCUAGAAUUUCCUAAUUGCGUACACCUAAUGAUAAUCUGGAAACCACUGUAUGAAUGUUCUAGAACCAGUCGCAUUAAAGAUCUCUACCAGGAUAUUUAAAGACACAGACAAACAUAUAUAGACACAAAUUAUUUCGAGAUAGCAUGUCAUUUGUGCUUUUUUAUUUUGUCUCAUUUACAUGGAUUGGGUUUGAAUAUCUAUUUAAGGUGCAUUGUACCGAAGAAACGAAUAUACCUUUCAUAUAAAAUAAGUCAAAAUUGACAUUAUGAUUGUGUUUUUUGAAAACAAGAUAAUACAAAUGUAUCAUAAAGAAUAUUAUUAUCAAAAUCUAACAUUAUCGUCAUCUGGUUCAUUGUGUAACUAACUACACUAUAUAAUGUUAUGCUUUAAUAAAAGUGAGUUAUAAAUAAGUUAAAAUUUAGUAUAUAUACAUUUAAUUCCAUUUUGCGGGUCAAAAUUUGACUGGAAAAUGCUCCCUCUAUGUCAUUUUUUAUUAAACAGUUCUGGUUUGCAAUUCACUAAAAACUCGGAUCAAAUAUUAGAAAAUGUGGAAGUGAUUAUAUUCAUGAAAUAUCUGAAAAAUUAAAGGACGUGUCUACCGAGCAGCCGUUGGCUCGGUAGCACUCCAGGGCAGUCUUUUUCUUUUUAGUAUAUUUCUGUCCUAAUCAAAUAGAUUAGGAAUAUUCUGUCCUUCUAAAAUAAAAUGCCAAAGACCAUGCACGUGAUUAGACAAAAUUUUAAAACAGGUAUGAACGCACUUUAUUUGGAUUUCAAAAUUUUAGAAAAGUCAUAAAUUUUAAACUGAACAUCGGAAUUAAGAUCCGCUUUCACCGUUGGAAUCCUCGUGACAUGCUCUUCAAAAGUAGAUCCCGCAUGAGUAUGUUUUGACAAACAUUUUUUUGUACAAUUUUGUCCCCGUUUUGUGCAACUGUCUAGUUGUCGAUGUGCAACUACAUAAUAGUCGACGUGCAACUUCCUCUACCCAUGGACGUGUCGUUUUCACUGAUGGUACCUCGCCCCAAACUACCCACUAUCAACUGAGAUGUGCAACUUCGUCUACUGCCCCAACCAUCUGCCUGAUAGUCGAUGUGCAACUUUUCCCCUCUGGUUGGAAGUGUAAUUUUCAUUGUUUGCUGCCAUGGCUAACUGCCUAGCAAUGGAUGUGCAACUUCAGAUACUACCCCGGCCAGCUGCCUAACAGCGGAUGUGCAACUUUUUCCCGUACCCCAUGGCACUACGGGAAACAGAAGAUUUGUCGUCAGCAUUUCGUUGGGGUAGACGGCAAAGAAAGGGUUUGCCAUCAUCAGCAGACGACAAAGAAUAACUGACGACAAAGACAGAUUUGCUGUCUGCGAUUUUUAUUACAGACGGUAAAGACUUACUUUGCCAUCUACGUUUUUAUUACAUACGGCAAACACUUACUUUACCAUCUAUAGAAAGAACCGCAGACGGCAAUUUGCCGUCUGUAAUAAAAAUCGCAGACGACAAAGAGAUACUUUGCCGUUUGUAAUUAAAACCGCAGACGACAAAGAAGAAACACACCUGGCGGAUCGAUCUCCUGGAUCGAUGAGGUGGCACAAUCGAUACCACACGUCUCCCUGAUCUCUCCCCCACGCGGCCAGGCCCCCACCAUGUUCUAUCUUCCACACCCCUCACCACGUUCUCUCUCCCAACCGGCCCCACCUACUUCUCUUUCCCACACCCCGGUGUGUAGUUUUCAUUGCUAGCACCUCGUCCCACCCACCUCAACUAGUGAGUUGUGCAACUUUAGGGUGACGUCUAUAGACAACUUUUUUCUACCCUCAUGGUCUAAUGGAUGUACAAUUUUUUCACCAUCCAACAAAUCCACGAGUAGUGAGGAGAGGGUUGCACGUCGACUACUAGGUAGUUGGCCGAGGUAGUAGACUAGUUGCACAACAUACAAAGUUUGAUGUCAUGGUUGCUUGGUUGCAAUAUCAUAAGAAUUUGGAUCAUGCAGCAGCAAACUUGGUUUACAAAAAAAUUGCACAAUCCAGUACUAAAGUUGCGCCAUGUAGUAAUAGAGUUGCACAAUAUAGCACCAAAGUUGGCAUAAAAAAUCCGUCAAAACAUACCCAUGUGAGAUCUAGUUUCAAAAAUCUCGUCGCGGGGAUUCCAGCAGUGAAAACUGAUCUGAAUUCUGAAAAACAGUUUAAAAGAUAUGACUUUUUAAAAAUUUGAAAACCCGAAUAAAUGGACAUGCGCAUCCAUCUGACAAGGGAAUAAAUGCGGUGUCUUUCCCAUGUGACCAUCCCAUUAGUACAUGCCAUGUCACAAAUAAAGUCAAAAUUUAGACCACAAGAUUACAUGCAUGCCUGUGUAAGACCGGCCGCUCGUUUCUUCUGAUUAGUGUGUACACACUUUUUAGAAUUUAGGCCAAUUAAAUGACCAAUCUAUUAAGACCCUAGUUGGUGUGUAUCACUGACGGACCCGAUACCUCUUGUUGACUAUCUAACUAUUUCUUAAUUUUUUGACCUAUAUUUGGUCAUAAAUUUGCAAACAAAAUCUUGAACAAAUUCGAGAAAUGGAGUUGUGUAAGAGCUUUACUCAUAAGCCACAGGUUUUUUUAACAAAAUUUCAUGGAUUUGGCCCAGUUAGUCCAAGACCUUUUCGACAUCAUCCGGGGCAACAAAGAUGUUGAUGGGUUGGGUCUAUGGUGCAUUGGGCUGUUUUCAUUUCGUUGAAUCCUAAACUUGUCUACCUACGGAUACAACUCAAGCAACCCUCAUUCCAUCUAGGUUCAGACCCCAAGAUUUUUUUAACAUCUAAUGCACUAAGCACAAAAAGAUCCCCAAAACAGGUGAAAAUUUAUUUAUUUAAAAAUGGUGCUAUGAUGGAUUUAUUUAUACAAAAAUAAUUAAAUUAAUUAUUUACAAUGCAAAUAUGCUAUCUUUGGCUCUACAAGUUUGGCCAUGUGAGCAUUUUAUAUUUUGCUUACAUAUUUUUUUUUCUUAUAGUAAACAUCUUGCUUAAUUACUAACAUGAAAUAGUUUUUUAAUGAUGAAAACUUCCACAGCAUGAUGUUACAAAACUACACAUCUCACUACUCAAGUAUGAAGAACUAUAUAUUCCCAAGCAUAUACGAAAAUUUGCAAGCACGGACGAGCUCGCACGCUCUCGGAAUCGCCAGGCGCUCGUUUCCUUCGGGAUAUGAGCUGCGUCAGGUAUUGUCGGGCGUAUACAUAGAUCCUUAUUUUUCGGCCAUAUGGGUGGUGGCAGACCCUCGUGCAUAACGGACGGCCGUUUGCUGGACCGAUCUAUGCCAUUGGUCACGUUUUACAUGCAAGACGGUACGUAACGGGCGACCUGUGAACGUCUGCAACUGCGACUGGGGCACACCAGGUAGCUGCGAAAUAAAUAAUAGUAGUUCUUGCUAGAUUAGACCAUAUCGAAGUCAUACGACACAAACAGAGACUCGAUGUCCGUCACAUAUCAGGCUAAUACUCUUGCCAUGCGAUUGAGACACACACAUUCACAGGUACUGGAACAAGAUACACUUUUUCGUGUGUGUAGAGCUAGCUAGCUACUCCAUCCAUGCAGCUUGAUUGAUUUACACUUUUUCGUGUGUCUAGAGCUAGCUAGCUACUCCAUCCAUGCAGCUUGAUUGAUUUACAAUUUUUCGUGUGUGUAGAGCUAGCUAGCUACUCCAUCCAUGCAGCUUGAUUGAUUGUAGUACGAGCAGCUUGCUGCUUGCUGCUAAAUAUCAAUGAAAUAAAUAACGCGCUACAGAAAAUAGCGUGGCGCCUGAAAAUAUGCUAUUAGCAUGCUAUAGCGCGCUAUAGCGUGCUAUUAGCGAGGCAUUAUACAUUGAUUUAUUUAGCGAGACAAUUCUCUAUAUGCUAUAGCGUGCUAUUAGCGGUGUUAUAGCGCUCUAUUUUUUUCAAUGCUAAAUAUGCACGGAAUGAAUUCUUGCUUGCGGCUGCAUUAGAUGGGUUCGCCGGCUGCUUGCCGCAUCUGUUGGCAGUAGAUGGAUUCACCGGCGGCUUGCUGAUGCAUCUUCACGGAAUGUCUCGUGCUGUUGCACGCAACUGCCAAGACGAUGAGUCAACGGCCGUCGAUGAGCCAAGCUGCCAAAGGAUGGAAGGAGCAACAUAUGUUGGAAUACCAUGUAAUUUUGCUGUUGGUUUUUUCUCAACAACAAAGAAACUGUGCUUUUAGAUUGAAAAUCUCCCUGAUUGCUCGCCAUGCUCCGCCACUGGUUCCAGGGGCUAGAUGUGGUACUUACAGGUGUUGGGAGCAGUCUUGAGCAUGACACCAACCCACUGUCAGCACUGUGUUUCAAUUUGUGAUGUUGAUCAGUACUAGAAAACUGCCUGUUGAGCACGGAAAUGGAAUCCAGAACAAAAACACUAGGGAAUACCUGCUGCAGCUGGGAUGUACCCCAGAGUUGUAUGGCCAUGAAAAAAUAGCAACACGCUAGUCCGGAAAGAAUUCACAAAGACAUCGGCAUAUGCUGUGCAGAAUAAGCUUGCUGGUCCGGGUGUGCUUCUUUAUCAUUUGCCUACGGCCAACUCCAUCGCACGACCCCAAACGAACGUCCGGUUCGGCCUGAUUUUGUCCCUUUGGUGCUGCAAUGGGUUCGCCCAUGUCCGCCUCUGUCCGUUGGGUCAUGGGUGCGCCCAGUGCGCGGCAGCACCUCAAAUCAUGUCUGUGUUGGACAUGAUAAAAAAAACAAAAAAACUAAAAUAAAAUGACUUCAAAAAGUAAAUAAACGCAGUUAAAAAAACUUAAAACUUAAUUUAAGGGGUCAUGGGCACAAAACGGCCCAGUUCUACGGUUCACUUAACGGCCUAGUAGCAUAAUUAACAUAAAAACGAAAAAAAACGCUGCCCGCGCGCUCCUGCCGUGCCCGUCGAUGCGGCGGCUAUCGCCGUCUUCAGUGGCCGCCGGUGUCGUCGUCGUCGCUGUUGAGGUCGACGUAGUCCGGCGGCGUCCAGAGGUGGGCCGGCGGUCCGUGGUGCACGGGGGGCGGUGGGCUGGAAGGUGGCAGGUGCGUGCACCACCUCCUCCCGUGGCGAGGCGCCCCGCUCCGGUGACCGCGGCGGCGUGGGGCACCAGUUCACGCCCCCCACGGCGGCCGCCAUCUGCUCUGCCGUGCACGACCAGCUCCACCCCUGGCCCACCAGGCCCGGGUGGAACGCGGCCACCGGCGGCUCCUCCAUCACCUCCUCCUUCGGCACCAUCUCCAGCUCGGGGAUGGCGACGUCGCCGGCCGCGGAGAGGGCCGUCAUCUCCUCGAGGCCCUUCCAUUGGCGCUCGUCGUGCGUGUGCAUGAUGUCCUCCAUGACACGCGCCAUGAGACGGGCCUCCUCCUCCGCUGUCAUGCGAGGAGGUGGUGGUGGCGAUGGAGAUGGAGAUGGCGACGGCAUGGACGUGCCGGCGAAGAAGGACGCCCGCCGCAUGUCGUGCUCAUCCCGGAACCAAGUGUCCCACAGGGGCGAGUCGGGGGCGUACCUCUCAUCGUAGUAGAAGUCGUCCGGGAGGAGGCGCUGACGGCGCUCGAUCUCCUGGCGGCACGCACGGCCGCUCAGCAGGACCGGCGGGAUCGGCGCGCGGUCGGCCGACAAGUGCCAGUUGUUGGGGAGGUGGACGUCGCUCCAGGGUAGCGGCGUCAUCGUCUCCCAAUAGCAGCGGCAUACGGCCGCCUCGAUGUAGUGCCGGUCGCGCUCGCCGGCGACCGUGGGCGCGAUGGAGAACGCGGGCGGCGCGGGGCCCGACGUGGUGGUGAUGCGGGCUCCUCCUUCUUCAUAGAGCCACGGCGACGCCCCGGCGAGGAGCCAGCCUCGCGGUCAUGCUUCCCCUUCCGGCCGUAGUUCCAUAGGCCCAUGGCUGCGAGGUGGCCGGCCGGCGAGUUCGAGGCGAGGCUAGGGUUUGGGGUUGUCGGGUUUCGAGGAGGCCGCGGGGUGGAGUAAGGGAGUGUGGACGACGACCGGUCCACGGGUUCCCAUUUAAGAAGGACCGCGACCGUUCGCCUGGGCGGAUGACAAGGCGGGCUGCCCGCGCGUGCGCGUUGAUGUGGGCGGGUAGGAGGUAGGUGGCCGCCUGCCACGCAGCCCUGACGCGUACAAGGCGCGUGUCCGUUUGGUGUUCGCCGCGACCCAAACCCGGCGCAUGUUUGUGCUCGAAAUGGGUCGGCCCGGACACAAAACGAACCAGACGGGUCCAGCCUGUCGCGCGCUGGACCGACCGGUUUGUCCCUUUUACCCCAAACGGACAGGGCCGGACAAAAUGGGGUCGCGCGGUGGAGUUGGCCUAAUCAGGACGGACACCAACAUUGGGUCCAUCACCUACAAAGUUUUUGCGUUCAAUAUAUGCCUCAUAAAGGCACCAGCCAUCGUCCACUAUCAGCGCCUCCAUGAACUGGAAAAUGGAAAUGAUGUGAAAAGCCUUGCAUGUUCAUCCGAGUCACGAUACUGUGCAUCACGCUUUGUAGGCUCACUUACCUUUUAGCAUUCGCACAAGUCGUACCGGAGUUUCUGCUUGUUGAACAUCCCGAAUAUCCUGUCCCAGCGAGGUUUCUUUUGGCCACACAUGAAUUCAUCCUGCAUUGUUUCAUAGAAUGUAAAUUAUGAUAAUUCGAAGCAUUAAGCACUGGACAAAUGGCAUUGAAGGGGGUGCUAACGGUAUGCGCCGCGAAACUCGGGUUCAUCAAACACCGUGAGCGGGGAGCUCCUCCUGGGUAAAGCUUGUCGUCUUUGAAGUUUCAACUGCAUCAUGCGGACGGAUGCGCCCAUCCCACGAUCUGGCCCAUAGUUUGCCAACAUGGCAAGCCCGUCUAGCUCCCGCUUGUAAGGCUCACGGUUUGAAAACCACUUUCUGCAACAUGUGGGGAUUCAUUUUACAGCGAAAAAGGUACUCGGAACAAAUGUACAAUGCACAUGUGUGUGCCACCACCCUAAACAAUCACACAAACCCGCGUCGAGAAUAAACCAACUGCAGGAAUCUCAUUUCAUAUUCCUGGCUCCACUAGCGACUUGGAACCUGGCCUCACAUAUAUAUUAAGGUAUCAUGGUCGUAUACUAUUUGUUUUAACAUUUGCCAUGAUUGGUAAACACAAUUUGUUUCGAGAAUUGCCAUGAGAUAACAAUAAUUUUGUCUCAAGAUGUUGCUGUGAUUUAGAAAACACAAUUCGUAAAAUUGUUAUUCGUAAAAUUGUUGUGUCAUAGUUACAAAUUUUCCUAAAAUUGGCCAUGUGAUGGGAAAUAUGAUGUUCGGAAUUUGUUGUGUGGCCCAUAGAAAUUCUUUCAAACUUGUCAUGUUAUAGAGAAAAAAAUUUGCUCACGAAUGUCACGGACCACUACGAGACAUUUUCAAAAAAUUGCCAACGUAGAUACAAAUCAGUACACACUACUACAACGCAUCAGAUGCUAUUUGCAAAAAAAAAAAAACUCUUAAGAUGUCGUCUUCCUGUCAGACCCCUAUGUUUUUUUAAUAGAGAAAGGCGCCAAAAGCGCCAUAUAUUUUAGCUCAUGAAGAUAACACAUUGUCAAUUACAUAACCCUACUAGGGAUAACAAAGAAGAAAAUCUUGUAUUACAGGGCAAUUCUUUCUGAAAUGAGCUGAGUAGAACACAUUUAAAGAUAGGUUCAAGCAGAAGCAUAUGAACCUGAUGUACACAAACGAAGAGGAACACCCAAGAUAGGAUGUCCCAGAGGCCGCUCGAACCCCACCAACGGCCCCUUGGCCGGUCGGAGGUCCAGCGCGCCGAGGCCGUCGGUCGCCACAUGCUCCUCCUGCUCCGCUCUCUUCCGCUUCUGCGCGGGUGAGGCGGCCUCACGGGCCAGCGGCGGCCGGUAGGUGCGCGCGAGCAACUGCAAGCAAGACGGCCCCGGUGAUGCGUCCGCGCGUGCGUCUCCUGGUGUGUGUGUGUUGUGUUUGUUGGCGGCGGGGGUGGGAGAGAGCUGUACAAAUCGGAUGGUACAUGCAGUCCAAGUCUUUUAACACCGUGCGCCAUAACCCCGCUGUACCGACCAAUGCCUUUAUAUUAACUACCUACACUUUUAACCCACACCGUAUUUCCACGAUUCAUUAAUGUCAUCCACAUGUGCACGCUGUACCGACCAAUGCAGACGAGUGUGAUCUCAGCGCAGGCCAGGAGGACGCGGGCGCCGCGGUUGUUCUCGGCGAGCUCCCUGGCGAGGCCCAGCGCCCUGCCGCCGCCGUAGCAGCCGUGGAGGCUGAGGAUGGUGCGGUUGACCGUGGGGCGGAGGCCGAGCAGCGUGGCGAGCCGCAGGUCGGCGCUCGGGGCACCCCAGGCGGAGUAGGUGCUGAAGAUGAGGUGGGUGAUCUCGCUCGCCGGGCGGCCCCACUCGGCGAUGGCCUCGGCCGCCGCGCACUUCGCCAGCUUCGGCACCGCGUCGACGGUCAUGGCGAGGCGGUUGUCCAGCGACGACGCGUCGUGGUCGUACAGCUCCGGGUGCGCCGCCAGCGUCUCCUCCGUCAGGUGGAAGUGGCGCUUGUCGAUGCCCGUCUUCUCGCCUGCAACCAAAAAAGAAGCAUAAAUCAGUAGCAGAAAAAACAAGCAUGCAUGCAGAUUCGUGCUCCUAUAGUCAACGUGGUGAACAGGGAAGAACAUAGUACGUACAGAUUCUGGUCAGCUUCUGCUGGAGCUCAGUGAGGUGGUCGCUCUUGGUGACGCGGAAGAGGUUCUCGGCGAAGAUGUUCUGGGGCACCUCGACGCCAGUGGGGUUCGCCGUGCCGAUGCCGAGCAUGGCCGCGGGGCCUUCGGCGUGCUGCCGCCGCGCCACCGCGGCACCACCGUGCCCGAUCCCGUUGCCGUUGGCGGUUCCGAUGCUUCCCAUGGCCGAUCUUUCGGAAGCAGGAGCACUACUCUUGUUUGCUGGGCAGGGAUCACUAGUCGCUAGCUUUGUGAUCGAAUGAAGCUUCAAUGGCAUGCAGCAGCUUGGUCUAAUGGGGUAUGUGCUGGGCUCAGGAUUUAUAGUCUGUUUCCUUGGCUGGCUGGCUGGCUGCAAGCUGAACUGUCUGUUGGAGUGGCGGCCCUGGCAUUAAUUAUCGGCCCCUCAGACGCAGCUUCGGACGCAGCCUCCGAUGCAGCUUUCCUCGGACAAAAAAAUGGGUAAAGCUCAACUCCAUUUGGCUUUCACCAAUCCCAUGCAUGGAAUUGGGAGGUGAAGGAAAUGGGUUAAAAUUAAUUCCUUUGAAUUUCUGUUCCUGGCACAAUGGAUGGGGGCACUCCUCGCACGGUUAAAACAGCAUGCCAAUGACAUGGAAGAUGCAAGGUCAAACCAAUUUGCUAGUGGUAAAUCACAAAGAGGCAUGUCCUUGUUUUUUGAUGGAAAGGGGAGGAUAAACCUCCUGGCCUAUGGAUGGUUAUCGAUGCUUUUAGCCCAUCACUUGGUCACUGGUACUCCUUCUCUAUCCAAAUAUAUAGCACCUAUAAUCCGUCUUUCGAGUUUACUUUUGACCAUAGGUUAGAGCAAUUAUAUAUGACAUGCAUGUUACACAAAGCAAUACCAUCAAAUUCAUAUAUGGAAGAAGUUUCUAAUGAUAUAAUUUUUGUAUCAUAUAUCUUAUAUAUUAUUCAUCUUGUCAAUGAUCAAAUGCAAGUUCAAAAAACGUAUUAUGCCCUACAUAUUUGGAUGAAGGGAGUUAGCAUUACUACCGUUUGGCUCUCAGCCAUGACAUAUGUGAGUAUGGACUGGUCACGAAUGAUAGUGUUUGUAGUAGAGUGCACGGUUUUGUUAUAACACGUAUCUCGCUAUCCGCUUGGGCUUGGAAAGCCACCAUCCCGAAGUGGGCAUAGUAGGAACACAUGGACCACCGUACUUGUCUUUGAGUUAGACGGAAUGUGUGUGCAGCUGAUGGUUUGACCUCCUCGAUAAUUCUUUAUGACAUUAAAGACUUGAGAGACACCUUCCCCAUGAUGGCGUAGUGGCACACAUUGCAUUGUUCAUGAUCUAGCAUUAUGUAUUAGCAGCAUGAAUAUCGCUUAGAGGAUAUAUAUACAUUUGAUCUUCUUGUUCGUCCACUAGAUUAAGAGGUCAAAGGUCACAGAUUGGACUCGGGAGUCGUGAUGCUGGGUAGGUAGAGCGGGAUUUUACUCCUUCAUCAACAUCCAAGGCAAAGUACAUACUGAAUCCUGGAAGCGAGAUCUACCAUUUCUAGAGCAAGCCUAGAACGAUCGAGUGAGGGAAGUUCAAAACAUGGUUCUUACAAGAAACGAGUCGUGGAAGUCCCUACAAGCACAUCUUGCAAGGGCAUGAGCUACAACCCUGGAGUUCCUUGAAAAUAUAGUGACUAUCAAAUCCUUGUGUCGUUGAUUGAAUAAAUAAGCAAGGAAAGAUCUAUAUGGUAGGCGAUUGCUGGUUGAAGCGACAUCCAAAAGAGUUCUCCAACCUAUCAGGAAGGAUAGCUCUCUCUAAGAGAGAGCUCGGACUGUUUGCAUUCCAAGGACAAUCGCUUGAGCCUUGGAUUAUAACACAUAAUCAACAAGCAAGGAGAAAACUUGGAUGUAAAUGGAGAAUUAUAAGUAAUAUCAUCAAAAAGAAAACUUCAAGUCUAGCAACAUUCCCUACCUGGGAAGGGUUGAAUGCCACAUUCAAAAAUGCUCGAGGAUCUAGAGAAAGAGAAGAAAUAGAACCAGAACAAGCAUGAUUAGGAGGGAGGUUAGAUUUGUAAUUCGAAUCCUGGUCUGUCACGGAUUCAUUUGUGUCAUGGAAAGAAAAUCAUUGGAAGCACAUAUGGUUGGUAAAUUAACCAACAUAUUUGCCUUAAGAGCAUGCAAUAUAGAGCUUUCUAAAUUUCCAAUAGAACGUGUAGAUAUCUUCAAGAGAGGCUUCAAGAUGUGAGUUAGAAAAUAGGCUUUGAAUAAUGGAGGAGUGAUAAAUUUUAGGUGCAAAUUAAGUAAAUUAUACCGAUCUAAGUCCCCAACAAAAGCAAAGCGCCCUAGCAAAAGAAACUUUGACGAAGAUGAGAAUCGGAAUUAAGUAAUUAACAUCUACGUCAUUGCUCUGUGAUGUGUGUAUAGAAUCAUGAAGUUUGCAAACAUGAUGGAAGAGCUAUCCUGAACAGCCUCCAAGCAAAUGAUUUUACCCUAGGUGGAAAAUUUUGCUUUCCAAACCUUGGGAAGGAGUGUAAUCUAGUGUCUUGAUUCUUGCAUGCCGAGCAUGGCAGCCUGCUAAAUGUUUUGUAUUCACUCUUGGUCAUAUAUUGGACAUUAGGAUUAUGUACCCAACAAACAAUUCAUCUGCAAAAGUUAGCACCAGUGAUGGGAAUUUGAAUAAUUUGAUUUUUUAACCAUCAUGAAAGUGAGCUGAAAUUUUGUGAAUGUUACAUGCGCCAGAAUUUUCCGGCCAAAGAUGACAAGAGUAGAGAUAUAAGUUGAUCGUAGAUGGGGUUCCAAGUAGGAUGCCAAUAGUAAAACAUAUGCUAGAGUUACCUUUGGUGAUUUGCAGGUGACAAGAAUGAAGCAUAUGAGGCAAGACUUUAGGCCAAUCUUAGAGAUAUAUUGCUUGUUUGUGCAUAUGGUUUUAGCUAUUCCAUCCUUGAUAGAUCUGUUUGGUUGAACUCAAGCUAGGGGGAAACGGAUUCAUCCAAAAAAAUUACAGGAUUUAAAGAUGGUGAAAAUAAAAACGGAGGCUAAUAUAGUGACUCGUGACUUUGCAAGGUUUUGCUUCAGUUCUAAAGUUGAUGGUGUGUUAUUUGGUUUUGUGACUUCUUGUAUAGCAUGCUUCGUUCAUACUUAUUGUAUGAACAUUUCUUAAUUAAUACAUGGGGUUAAAAAUCUUUUUUAUAUAAAAUAGUUACUAGAACAUUGGCUAAGACUCGAAGACCAUUUACCAGACUACAUUUAUGAAUCCUAACCAUCUUUUACUCAAGGGCAUACAAUUCCAAAUAGUAUUACCAUGUCCUAAGAACUUAUACAUCCUUUCCAACUUUCCUCUUGCAAUCAUAAUGUGCCCAUGUUAAAUACAUUCAUUUAGCCAAAUCUUUUGAAAUAAUUAAAUGGUACUUCAUCAUUAGGGCCCUCACACCUAAAUGGAUGCUUGGUGACUUUAUCAUGUUAAUUAAUGAAUGCAUUUCCAUUACCACCUUACUAUCAAUAUAAAUGGUUAACAUUUUGUUACUUUUAAGGGGCCUGAGGUAUUCAUCAAGGUUGUCCUUUUUAUUUGCAUCUCUUUUUCCUUUCAAUUAGUGAAUAUUCACAUUCUCUACAUAAUGGAUGAGUUCCAAUAGUUUUACUGACAUCGAGUGAGGCCCUCUUGUCCCCCUUAUGCACCCUCUCAUGUUUUUAGAUGCCCUUAACAUUUGUGGCUCAUCAUCUAUAAAUGAUGGUUGUGCAUGGCAAUUUACUAAAAAUGGCUAUUGAAAUGCCAAAUGUAGGUAGGUAUGAUUGUAGUUUCCAAGAGAUGUUGGGUUUAUGUGUAGGAGGACAAGCGUAGAUCCACCAACAGAUUUGCAGAAAAAACAAGCAUGCAUGCAGAUUCGUGCUCCUAUAGUCAACGUGGUGAACAGGGAAGAACAUAGUACGUACAGAUUCUGGUCAGCUUCUGCUGGAGCUCAGUGAGGUGGUCGCUCUUGGUGACGCGGAAGAGGUUCUCGGCGAAGAUGUUCUGGGGCACCUCGACGCCAGUGGGGUUCGCCGUGCCGAUGCCGAGCAUGGCCGCGGGGCCUUCGGCGUGCUGCCGCCGCGCCACCGCGGCACCACCGUGCCCGAUCCCGUUGCCGUUGGCGGUUCCGAUGCUUCCCAUGGCCGAUCUUUCGGAAGCAGGAGCACUACUCUUGUUUGCUGGGCAGGGAUCACUAGUCGCUAGCUUUGUGAUCGAAUGAAGCUUCAAUGGCAUGCAGCAGCUUGGUCUAAUGGGGUAUGUGCUGGGCUCAGGAUUUAUAGUCUGUUUCCUUGGCUGGCUGGCUGGCUGCAAGCUGAACUGUCUGUUGGAGUGGCUGCCCUGGCAUUAAUUAUCGUGUCAUCGUAACCAACAAUCCCGACAUGCCGGUGUCGGGGAACAUGGUCAUAGGAGAGGAUCUCAUCUCAUUUCAUCACGAUGUGUACGUGUGUAUGUUUUGGCAUUGGUUGCAACAUCUACACGGAGGAUCGGCGAGGAGCGGAUCAACUAGCAGAAAGCUAGCUUUGUAAUGUGAGUAGAUCGAUCAGAGGUAGCCGGCUUGCUUCAUUGUUGUCAUCAUUUACCAUCACUUCGUCACCACAAAAUACUCGACGUCGAGCGUGGGCCAACAAGGAUGCAUCAACGUCGAGCGUGAGUAGAUAUAUUUUUUCUCCAAUGACGCCCAAUGCAAGCAUGCACUACUACAGGAAGAACUUUUUUCUUCUCCUUUUUUUAGAUAAGGGUGGUCAGCUUUGUUUAUUCAUUCAUAAUGUUCAAUGGUAAAAAAAUCUGGUGACUCCAGUAACCAAAGAUGCUGGCCAGACGGCAGAGAAGGAGCUAAUUUAGUCAUGUGGAGAGGGUGAAGUAACAUCCACGGGCAUAGUAAGCCGGGGGCACAAAUGCUUGGGCAAGGCCAUCAAGUCUUUUGGCAAGUGGAAUUGCACUCAAACCUGCUGCAUUGAAGUGGAAUGGGUACUGCUGAUCCCCCCCACCCGCGUCACUCUCCAGGGGGGCGGCUCGGGUGACCUAACCCCGUCGCCACCGCCACCCCCUCCUGCUCCCUCCCCCCUCGCCGCCGUCGGGCGUCCUCGCCGGGCAAAGCCCGUGCGGCUGCCGGCGGCGGCGGGCCUUUUCUCUCUCGUCUCGCGUGGAGGCCAGCCCUGGACGGCGCGCCGUGCGUCGUGGAGCUGCGCGCCGGCGCGGAUCUGGCCCUCCGGCCUCUUCUGUGGCGCGGUGGCGCUGGAUGCUGGGGCGGCGGCCCCAGGGAGCGGCGGCCCCCUCCUCUCUGUCUUCCUCGCGGUGGAGGAGCGGCGGCUGGCCGUGUUGGCGGCGGAUCGGGGCUUUUCUGCUUGGAUCUGGUGGGCGCGCGCCAUCGGCGGGAUGCGGCGGUGCUGGUCGUCCUGGGCCGCGUGGGUGGCAGGGCGGCUGCGCGUGGUGGAGGCUCCGGCGGCUCUGGUUGGCGGCGAUGGAGUUGCUGAUCCCAUCUUGCCUGGCCGGAGACGGCUCUCUCGGCUAGGCUGGUGUUUGGCGAGGUGCAGUGGUGUGCCCUGGCUAGCGUGGUGCUGGCUGGGGCUGCUAGUCUCCCCAGGCCAGUAGCCUCUGCGUGGUGUAGGUCGCGCUGCCGGUGGUGGGUCUGGCGCUACUCUCUCUCGGCGUCGGUCCGUUGGUGGAUGGUGGAGGGCAUGUGCCGCGGAUCUGGUGCAGGCUCGGCGUGGUGGUGGCCCGUGGUGGCCUGCAACAGCGGCUGGUCGCGCGGGAGUGUGCCCGGCGGCUCCAACGCUUGGAGCUCGUCGGGCGGCGCGGGUUGGGCAGCGGCCCGGUGUGGUUGUGGCUCUGGCCGUGGAUGGCUCCACGGUGGCUUGGCAGGUCGACUGUGGCAGCGGCAGGCAUGUUCCGGCGUUGGCUGGCCCGUAGGCGGCGUGUGUCGACCUUCGAUCCCUCUCCUCGUCGUCCGAAUGCUACCUUCGUCGAAGGUUCGGCCCUUCCCUGACUAUGGGCCAUCGCUCGUUUCACGCUCGGCAGCAGGACCGAGCUUGUCUCGCGCCCGGCAGCAGGACCGGCCUCGUCUCGCGCCCGGCAGCAGGACCAUGCUUGUCUCGCGCCCAGCAGCACGACAGUGCUCGUCUCGCGCCAGUGUCUUGGACGGGCCGAUGGCGGCCAGUUUUGGCCGGCCUAUUGGGUUUCGGCGUUAGGAGCGGCUCAGGCGUGCAAAAGGCGGGUCCUUUUCUGCCCAUAUCUUUGGUUGGGGUAGCGGUGGGUGGCGGGUGAGGUGGCGUCAAGGUCUUGGAUGCUAGGGCGGCGGCCCUGGUGGUGGUGUCGCGGUGCUCUUGGGCAAAGCCCGUGACUUGGUGCUGCCUGGUGGCCAUGGCCUUGUGGGCGGCGUGGUAGCCAGGGUGUGGCGUUCGGUGGCGGUGAAUAUUGGUCGGGGUGAAAACCUGUUCUAUCUUCGGAUUGACCGGCGACGGCGAAGCUCGUUCCCUUCUUGAAGGCGUCGCCGCGACUCUCGCUGCCCAUCGUGUUGCUCCGGGGGAAACUCUGAUCCUUGGGUCGGGCGGUGGCGGCGCUUCGGUGUCGUAACCUUCCUGUAGGCACCGCCUUGGAGCCCACGGUGCGUCAUAUGUAGCUUCUUCUCUACGCGGUGGCGUGUUCACGGUUGAGGCCCCGAGGGCUCUUGUAGUGCUAGGGGUGGUGUUGCUGCGCUCAGCGCCUAUGUAUCCUGCCUUGGGUGUGUGCGUGUGUUGUGGUGGCGUGUGUUGUACUGGGUUGUUGGUGAUCUUUGCUUUAUAUGUAAAGCGGGGCGAAAGCCUUUUUCGAUAAUUUAGUCAUGUAUAAUUUGCUUCGCAUUUCCAGCUUUCAUAUUUAAAACUACUCCCUCCGUCCCGUAAUGUAAGACGUUUUUUCACGUUAGUGUAGUGUCAAAAAACGUCUAACAUUAUGAGACGGAGUAGUACAUUAUGUAGGUUUUGACUUUUGACCACAGCGGGCAAUCUCCAUUAAGAUGGCCUUCUAGUGCUGAGAAGAAAUCAACGUCGGCAACAGACUGUCAUCACAGCACCAAUCAUACUUCAGAGGUAGCGUUUGGACACCAGGGCUCUUAUUUGUCGCUCUAUGCGACCAACGAUGGAGCAAUGCACAGUGCACAUGGGCCGGCCCGCGAUGACGAUUCCGUUACCAAGCGCUCCCAUCCGGUUUUCUAGUAGUUUGUUUCUCUGCUAUGCCAUUUUAGUCGGGUUUUAUGUUAUUCCAUACAAACACGAACAAUGUUUUAUAAUGUGAGUAAUUUAGAUGAACUUUUUAUUUAAAUGUGUGAGUGUUUCUUUAAAUUUCAUGAACAUUUUUAAACACCAUUAACACUUUUAUAAGCACAUGCAUUUGAACAAAUAUUCAUCUCAUGUUGAAAAAGUGUUCAUGUGUAUUUGAGAAAAAUAUUCACAUACACAAUAAAAUGUGUUAUUAGUAACUAACAGAAAGAAAAAAACGAAAAACUAGGGGAGGAAUAAAACCUGUGAAAAAUAAAUAACCACAAAAAUAGAAAAAUAAACCACCAGAAAAAGGCAAAGACAUAGACAAAAAUAGUGAAAUGAAUUUUCUGCACUUUACAGAAAAUGUGUAGGCCCAAUUCGGCCUGAGCUCAAAAAACAAUAUAUCAAAAUCUUAAUCAAUUACUGUGUAAUCAUGUGUCCUGUGAAUAAAUGUAGCAUUCCACAUAUACUUUAAAAUAAAAUGUGAAUUUUCACAUGUCCCGGGCUUCAUCUCCCUCGGCUACGGCUACUUUCACUUCAUUAUUUCAUAUAUAUCAUACAUAAUGUGUAUUAAAGAUAAACAAUUAUACCUUCAUAGUUGGCAUAUAGUAUCUCGACAAGUAAUGAACAAUGCAUUGAAUCCAUCGAUUUGGGGUUUGAAUCCACAUAGUAGCAAGUUUUCUUAUAUUUUGGUUAGUUCUCUUGGUUCUUUUCCUUUUUUAUAUAUAGCACAUAGCACAAGUAGGAGUAAUUUUUUAUUUAUAUGCGUACUAUUUUGUCUUCUACCUAAUUUUAAAUAGAUGUACUUAAAAUCCAUGGCCCGCCCAUGAUAGUAGAGGGAGCUUUAGUUGGCGUAGAUCCCUAUUUGCAAAGUAUUUUGGUGGAAGAGAACCAAAAAUUAGAUGAAUAUGACUCACUAUGGAUAUAAAAAAGAGGGUUUAGUCCUAGACCGGGACGAUUUUUGGGAUAGCUUUAUAAAGACUGAUUUGAUAAUGCUCCUAGGCCCAAUGCGGCCUGAGCUCCAAAAACAAUAAUUUCAAAAUUUAACCAACUACUAUAAUCAUUUUUUUUAGAGAGUGUUUAAUCAUUUGUUGUGUGAAUAAAUGUAUGCCAGCAAUACUUUAAAUAAAAACAAUGAAUUCUCACAUGUUUCGGGCUUCGUCUUGUUCGGCCACAUGACUACUUCCACUAUAGAUCCAUCAAAUUACUUGAAAGAAAGAGAAGUAGUGGUCAUUGCCACGGCAAGUAUGUCCCAUGAAAAAUAGAAUCAUCAAAAUUUGAAACGUCAUACAAAAUAUACAUUGCUCAGAAAAAUAAAUUCCAACCAUCAACCUCAACAUGGCAUAUAGAAUAUAAUAAUAAAAUUUUGAAAUAGUUACACUUAACUAAUAGAAGAUAUAAAAUUGACAACAUAGGCAUGUUAACAAGGUAGCCUGCUUAUUAACAAAAUACAUAGUUGGUGCCGACAUACAAACAAAUGUGUUGGAGUUCAGAUGUACGCACAAUAUAUCAUAUAUUUAUUUACCUUGCUCAGGGAGAUUUUUUUUUCCAACUAUCGAUCUCAACAUAAUAUAUAGUUUCAUAAAAAUACAAUAAUAAUUCUGGAAAUUGCUACUCUUAAUUAACGGGCUGAAGAAAUAAAAAAUGACAAGACAGGCAUGUUAACAAGGUAGCCUGCUUAUUAACAACACACAUAGUUCAUGUGCACAUAUGCAAACAAACGUGCUUGAGUUCGAUCGGGUAUAUACGUGCAACAUAUCAUGUCCAUUAGUAUGGCCUAUUUCGCCGCGUUCUCAU
rnacentral:lncRNA from 1 species